GCAUCUGAGAUCAGUGUAAGAAAACACUUCAGCUUUGACACAUGUUGUGUAGAUAUUUGGUGUAGUUGUGUGACGUCAACACAAGUUUCAGGUACCUGUGGGCUGGUUGACUGGAGGUUGACUGACUGCGAUGAGGCCUCAGGCUGGACGGCAGUGACUGUGGCGGUCGGAGUACAUCUGUGCUUGGCUGGCGGUGAGAGUAGGGGUGGAUGAGUUCCCAAGGAGCACAGCCUGCUGGGUAAUGCUGACCGGAGAGGGGUUCACCCCCUGGGCCCUGCUGAUCAACUGAGCUGCCGCUGCAGGAGAGCUAGCCAGUUUGAUCUGGGGAAAAAGAUGAGUGGAAGCUUAGUGUGUCAGCAUAGAUCACAUAGACAACAUGUUAAGGUCCAUCAUUUCUAAGUAGUACCCUUGAGAUUGAGUCUUGUUCUUAACUGUAGCCAGUUGUUAUCUUCCUACAAAUGGUUAGUUCUGCAGCACUUUGUAUUCAUGAUGGCUCCUUUAACAUCAAGCAAGUUGGGCUGUAUUCCGCCUCACUAAUAAUUUGUUUGAGAUCAGUGGAACAUUUUUUUCCAUCUGAUGUCUAUCUAGCAUCACUUGUAAAAAUUUUAAAAGUUUCUCUUUAAUGAGAAAAACCAGUGAACACACUUAGAAUGGAAGUCUAAGGUUAUGUUGGGGCAAUCAAUAAAUUAUGCAAAAGAACAA